UCAGUUUGGUUUUGCCGUCGGUGGCUAUGGAGUAUGACCACUAUAAGCAAUUAAUCGUGUCAAGUGUAGAGAAACUUCGAAACGAAUCUCUAUAUACACUAGUCAGUGAAAGAUGCUAAAUUUCUUCGAAAUCGGUUUACGCAUCAGACAGAGAUCUAUUGAGGAAGGUAAAGGAUUUGAAGCGCGUGUGGAUUACAGUGUACUGAGAUCGCCUCUGUAGAAGAAAAAGGGGGCAAUUUACGCCAUGAUGGACUCAUUCUCAAUUAAACGACGAUGCUACAGAUGUGGAGACAAAAACUAUAUAGGUUCGAGUUAUGUAAAUCUCUUUGCUUGCCAAUUGCGAUCCGAGUAUUCUUAAUCAUUUUUGUCUCUGUUUCUUUGAUUGGAUUUCUAAACAACAGUCUCUGAUUCUCUGUCAAACCAAAUUCCAAUCUCCUCUGAAAAAUCAAUAUAUAUAUAUAUAUAUAUAUAUAUAUAUAUAUAUGUCUACUCCAAAAAUACUUCGCUCAGUUGGAGUAUAUGGUAAAGUUUUAUUAUGAAAGCUUUUUGAAUGAUGUUUUACAAUUUCAGAUGUGCUUUAUUUCAGGAAUGCAGCUACAAAAAAAAAAAAAAAAUCAAAGGAAGCAACUUUUUGGAUUUGGAGGAAUUGAGCACGAAUUUUAGAAAGAUAAUAUGUAAGCAAUCAAGUUUCCAAGAUUCCGAUCUGAUGAACCUCCAAGCUUAACGCAUUGUUCUGCAGUUUCCUUCAUAGGCAUGAUCCUCUUUCGCAUCUCUUCUCCAUGUGAGCUUGUCAUUAACGCUCUAACACAAUUUUCGAUCUCAAGUCUCUCUAUCUUG
rnacentral:lncRNA from 1 species